GGGGGGUCGGAACACAGCGAUGGGGACACCGAAGGGGGGGGUCAGCUCGGUGACGUCAUUGGUGACGUCAUUGGGGACACCCUGUGGGGUCAUCCUUUGGGGACAGCAGUGGGGACACCCCUUAAGGACACCCCAUGGGGACACCAUUGGGGACAUCAGUGGGGACACCCCUUAAGGACACCCCAUGGGGACACCAUUGGGACAUCAGUGGGGACAUCAGUUUGGUGACGUCAUCAGCAUUGGGGACAGCAUUGGGGACAUCAGUGGGGACAUCAGUGGGGGCAUUGGGGACAUCAUUGGGGGCAUUGGGGACAUCAGUGGGGGUGGUGGCAUUGGGGACAGCAGUUUGGGGACACCCCUUGGGGACAGCAUUGGGGACAGCAUUGGGGACAUCAGUGGGGACAGCAGUGGGGAACCCCAUUGGGGACAGCAGUGGGGACACCCCUUAAGGACACCUCAUGGGGACACCAUUGGGGACAUCAGUGGGGAACCCCAUUGGGGACAGCAGUGGGGACACCCCUUAAGGACACCCCAUGGGGACACCAUUGGGGACAUCAGUGGGGACAUCAGUUUGGUGACGUCAUCAGCAUUGGGGACAUCAGUGGGGACAUCAGUGGGGGCAUUGGGGACAUCAUUGGGGGCAUUGGGAACAUUGGGGACAUCAUUGGGGGCUUUGGGGACAUCAUUGGGGGCAUUGGGGACAGCAGUGGGGGUGGUGGCAUUGGGGACACCAGUUUGGGGACACCCCUUGGGGACAGCAUUGGGGCCAUCAGUGGGGAACCCCAUUGGGGACAGCAGUGGGGACACUCCGUAAGGACACCCCAUGGGGACACCAUUGGGGACAUCAGUGGGGACAUUGAGGGCAUUGGGGACAUCAUUGGGGGCAUUGGGGACACCAUUGGUGGUGGUGGCAUUGGGGACACCAGUUUGGGGACACCCCAUGGGGACAGCCCAUGGGGACAGCAUUGGGGACAGCAUUGGGGACAUCAGUGGGGAACCCCAUUGGGGACAUCAGUGGGGACACCCCUUAAGGACACCCUAUGGGGACACCAUUGGGGACAUCAGUGGGGACAUCAGUUUGGUGACGUCAUCAGCAUUGGGGACAGCAUUGGGGACGUCAGUGGGGACAUCAGUGGGGGCAUUGGGGACAUCACUGGGGGCAUUGGGGACACCCCUUGGGGACAGCAUUGGGGACAUCAGUGGGGACAUUGGGGACACCAUUGGUGGUGGUGGCAUUGGGGACACCAGUUUGGGGACACCCCUUGGGGCCAUCAGUGGGGAACCCCAUUGGGGACACCCCUUAAGGACACCCCGUGGGGACAUCAUGGGGACAGCAGUGGGGAACCCCAUUGGGGACAGCAGUGGGGACACCCCUUAAGGACACCCUAUGGGGACAGCAUUGGGGACAUCAGUUUGGUGACGUCAUCAGCAUUGGGGACAUCAGUGGGGACACCAUUGGGGGCACUGGGGACAUCAUUGGGGGCAUUGGGGACACCCCUUGGGGACAGCAUUGGGGACAUCAGUGGGGACAUUGGGGACACCAUUGGUGGUGGUGGCAUUGGGGACAGCAGUUUGGGGACACCCCUUGGGGCCAUCAGUGGGGAACCCCAUUGGGGACAGCAGUGGGGGCACCCCUUAAGGACACCCCAUGGGGACAUCAGUGGCGAACCCCAUUGGGGACAGCAGUGGGGACACCCCUUAAGGACACCCCAUGGGGACACCAUUGGGGACAUCAGUGGGGACAUCAGUUUGGUGACGUCAUCAGCAUUGGGGACAUCAGUGGGGCCAUCAGUGGGGAACCCCAUUGGGGACAGCAGUGGGGGCACCCCUUAAGGACACCCCAUGGGGACAUCAGUGGCGAACCCCAUUGGGGACAGCAGUGGGGACACCCCUUAAGGACACCCCAUGGGGACACCACUGGGGACAUCAGUGGGGACAUCAGUUUGGUGACGUCAUCAGCAUUGGGGACAGCAUUGGGGACAUCAGUGGGGACAUCAGUGGGGGCAUUGGGGACAUCAUUGGGGGCAUUGGGGACAUCACUGGGGGCAUUGGGGACAUCAUUGGGGACAUUGGUGGUGGUGGCAUUGGGGACAGCAGUUUGGGGACACCCCAUGGGGACAGCAUUGGGGACAGCAUUGGGGACAUCAGUGGGGAACCCCAUUGGGGACAGCAGUGGGGACACCCCUUAAGGACACCCUAUGGGGACAGCAUUGGGGACAGCAGUGGGGACAUCAGUUUGGUGACGUCAUCAGCAUUGGGGACAGCAUUGGGGACAUCAGUGGGGACAUCAGUGGGGACAUCAGUGGGGGCAUUGGGGACAUCAUUGGGGGCAUUGGGGACAUCAGUGGGGGUGGUGGCAUUGGGGACAUCAGUUUGGGGACACCCCUUGGGGACAGCAUUGGGGACAGCAUUGGGGCCAUCAGUGGGGCCAUCAGUGGGGAACCCCAUUGGGGACAGCAGUGGGGACAUCCCUUAAGGACACCCUAUGGGGACAGCAUUGGGGACAUCAGUGGGGAC
ensembl:lncRNA